UAGACCCAAUUUCUCAAUAACUUUUCUUCUAUAUUUGCUCCAUCUUCAAUGACUUUCACUUCCGACUGAAUUCUAUCCAAAUGUCUCUAAUUGAAUACUCCUAGGAGGAAACUUUGAAUGCCACAACCAUAAAACCUCCCUCGCCGUACCCAGACUCACCAAAAUCGACCCCCAAUUUUUUGGAAAUCAUAGUUGUCGGUACCCACGGAUCUACAGUCGAAAUCGCAACCAGCGCCGGAAAUCACUACUCAAGCGGGAAAUUAAACACAUCUAGUCACGUUGUAUCAACAACCCAAAUCAAGUGACAACGAUUGACAUCUAAAAGCUUCUCUUUUAGCUCAGCCAUGACGAUCUCGAACAACGUGCGACUCUCUGAGCUCGGUUAGUGUUUUCCUUUUUUGUGAUGGAAGAGUACUUUUAACAUUUGAUUGAUGAGCUAUUAAUCGAAUUUGGGGGUUUGGGUUUUGAUUCGUUGCGAUUUAUGUAAUUAUGUGAAAAUAAGGAAUGAUUUUGAGUGGGUUUGUUAGAGAGAAAAGAAGAUUAAUGUUGUAAAUAAGAUUUUCUAUUUUGAGUGGGUUUAAGUUUUGAUUUGUUGCGAUUCACUGCUCCGUCGUCUCCGACGAUAUCGCCAGCGGGGAGCAUCAUCAAUUCAUCACCCAAGCUUUCGGCUUUUGAUGUUUGGGCUUCGAGAUUGUUAUUGAAUGAAUAAUAUAUUAACUCUUAUAAACAUAUUUAUAAGAUAGAAGUUUAGAGAUUUUUCUCUAUUUUUUAGUGUGUUUUAGAGAAGUUUGCCUUUUAUAGGCAAAGGAAAAGGACACAUAUCUAUCAACAUUAAUUAUAUCAUAGACUAGGUUAUUGGCCUAGUUUUAUAGCAAUUGAUUUGGAAGAAAAUCAUACUAUUAUAACACUCCCCUUUAAUUUUGUUAAGAUAGGAGAUUAUGUCUCGUUAAAAUCUUGUUAAGAAAAUUCAGUGGAAAAAAACUUAGCGAAGGAAAAAAGAGUACAUAUCUUCCCCUCAAAAGUUAUUCUUUGAUGAAAUGUUGUGAUAAGUCUUUUAGUCGAUGCAUUCCAAUCAUAUUUCGAAGUUUUGUAAACGUUACAUUUGGUAGUGAUUUUGUAAAUAAGUCGAUUAGAUUAUCGCAUGAUUGAAUUUAAUGCACAUCUAUAUCACCCUUCUUUUGCAGCUCAUGUGUAGAAAAUUUUUGGUGAAAUGUGUUUUGUUCCAUCUCCCUUGAUGUACCCUCCUCUAAGUUGAGCAAUGCAUGCAGCGUUAUCCUCAUACAUAACUGUAGGAAUAUCUUUGAUUGAUGGUAAUCCGCAUGACUCUUGGAUAUGCUGAAUAAUUGACCUCAACCAAACACACUCUCUACUUGCUUCAUGUAUUGCGAGAAUCUCUGAGUGAUUUGUAGAUGUAGCUGUCAUAGUUUACUUUGUGAAUUUUUAGGAUAUAGUUGUGUCACAAUAUGUAAAUAUAUAACAUGUUUGUGAUCUCCCAUUGUGUGGAUCUGAUAAAUAUCAUGCAUCAGCAUAUCCAACUAAUCGUGACGUUGAAUCUCUUAGAUAAAAUAAUCCAAGAUCUAUAUGGGUUUGAUCUCAUCCCAACGUCUCUUAGUCGGAGAAGAACUGUAUCUUGUCAACAGGUUGACAGUAAAAGUAAUAUCGGGUCGUAUAUAGUUUGCAAGAUACAUAAAAGCACCUAUUGCACUAAAGUAUGGAACUUCAGGUCCAAAAACUUCUUCCCCACUUUCUAGAGGUCGUGAUCUUUAUCAACUUCUAGAGAUCGAACAACCAUCAGGGUAGUCAAAGGGUGAGUUUUAUCCAUAUGAAAACGACUGAGAAUCUUUUCAGUAUAUGUGGAUUGAUGAACAAAAAAUUCAGAUGUUAAAUGCUCCACUUGUAUUCCUAAACAAAAUGUUGUCUUUCCAAGAUCUUUCAUUUCAAAUUCUUCUUUUAAAUAAGUGGCAGUUCUUGUGAGCUCUUCAGGAGUACUUACAAGAUUCAAAUCAUCCACAUAUACAACAAUGAUGGUAAAUUCACUUUGUGUUUUCUUAAUAAAAACACAUGGGCAUACUUGAUUAUUUGUAUACCCGUCUUUUAUUAAAUAAUUACCAAGUCGAUUAUACCACAUACUACCAGACUGAUUCAACCCAUAUAAUGAGCGUUGUAACUUGAUUGAAUAUAUGUUUCGGGGCUUUUGUGAUUCAGCCAUUUUUAAUCCUUUAGGAAUUCUCAUAUAAAUCUCACUAUCAAGUGAGCCAUAUAGGUAUGUUGUUACAACAUUCAUCAAACUUGUUUCCAAACCUUCCAUUGUUGUCAUACCUAGUAAAAAGCGAAACGUAACUCCAUCCAUUACUAGCAUGAUAAUCAAUACCAAGUCUUUGUGAAAAAUCUUGAGCUACAAGUCGGGAUUUGUAUAUCACAAUUUUGUUUUUCUCAUUUCGCUUUCGUACAAAUACCCAUUUGUUUCCAACUGGGAUUACUCCCAGAGGUGUUUAGUCUACUGGUCCAAAUACUUCUCUUUUCAAUAAUGACUGUAGCUCAGUUUGAAUAACAUCUUUUCAUUUUGACCAAUCUUUUCUUUUCUGACAUUCUUCCACGUUUUGUGAUUCAUGAUCUGUGUCAGAAAUCAUAGUAAUUUCUGAUGUUAUAGAGAAAGUAAAUAUAUCAUCAAUCAUGACUUUGCUUCGAUCUCAUAUUUUUUCAUCAUGUACAUAAUUUAUUGAGAUCUCUUGGUAUUCAUCUCUUAUCUCUUCGGUGAUAUCUUGUACCUCUUCUGGGGGUAUUCUCACUUUUGGAAUAAAUGCUACUUUUGGAGCGGGUAUGACUUCUAGAACUCCCUUAUUUGCAUUUUAUUUUUGUGGUGCAGUGUCUUUUGCACCAAUUGGUCUUCCACACUUCUAGCGUGGUUUAGAUUCUUCGGUUGCCUUAUUUUUCAAUUCUUUAGGAAUUAACUUUUGGAUAGGCAUGUCUAUCUUUGUUGGAAUAUUCACUGCAGGUGUAUGUGAUUUUAUCACUUUUCUAACAUCAUUAAAUGCAUCUGGCAUUUGAUUUGUAUUAUUUUGUAAAUAAAUAAUUCUUUGAACUUCAAUUUCAUAUUGUCUUGUGCGAGGAUCAAGUUAAUUUAAUUAUGAUGCAUUCCAUGAUAUUUCAGAGGGUUUCUUAUUUAAAAAUUUCCCUCCUCCUAACGGUGGAAAUACAGAUUCAUCAAAGUGACAAUCUGCAUAACGUGCAGCAAAAACAUCUCCAGUUAAAGGCUUAAAAUAUCUAAUAAUAGAAGAAGUAUCAAAACCAAUAUAAAUUUCAAUUCUUCGUUGGGCUCCCUUUUUAGUCCUUUGUGGAGGUGGAAUUGGAACAUAUACUACACUUUCAAAAACUCUAAUGUGUGAGAUGUUCGGUAUCUGAUCAAGUACUAACUGUAGAGGAGAAUAUUUAUGAAGAGUUGUUGGCCUCACUCGAAUGAUGGCUGCAACGUGAAGAAUUGCAUGACCCCAAACUGAGGUUGGUAAGUUAGACCUUAAUAUCAAUUGACGUGCAAUUAGUUAAAGUUUUUUUUAUUAAAGAUUCAGCUAAACCAUUUUGUGUAUGUACAUGAGGAACAUAAUGUUCAAUGGUGAUUCCAAUAGUCAUACAAAAGUUAUUAAAGGUCUUUGAUGAAAAUUCAGCAGAAUUAUCAAGUCGAAUUAACUUAAUUAGAUGAUUUGGGAACUGAUCCCGUAACUUGAUUAUUUGUGCAAGAAUUUUUUAGAAGGAAAAAUUUCGAGAGGAGAGUAGGCAAACAUAGGACCAUCUAGUUGAAGCAUUUAUUAAAAUCAUGAAAUAUCGAAAUGGGUCAGACAAUGGAUGAAUGGGUCCACAAAUGUCUACUUGGAUUCUCUUUAGGAAUUUUGGGGUUUCAUUAUAAACUUUUGUUGGUGAUGGUCGAACAAAUAAUUUUUCUUGAGAACAUGCAGCGCAAGAAAAAUCACUACUAAAAAGAACAUUAUGAUUUUUUAGAGGAUGACCAGUAGAAUUUUCAAUAAUGUGACGCGUCAUAGAUGUGCUUGGAUGACUGAAUCUUUCAUGUCAAAGCAUAAAUGAUUUGGGAUCUAUGAAUUUUGGAAUCACAACAGUACGAUACCAAAUUGCUCUAAUCUUCAUAGUAUAUAAUCCAGAAGAAAUUGAAUGAAGUUUUUCUAGGAUAUUCUUCUUUCUAGAAAUAGUAGAAGUGAUGAGAAGAUAUUCAUUAUCAUUAUCAUUUGUUGUUUUAAUGUGAAAACCAUUUAGUCGAAGAAAGAUUAUGACUUUGUUAAAUACUCAGUUUUUAAUUCUUCAUCAACGUGAUGACGAAGAAAGAUUAUGACUUGUGCAUUUUGUGCCGUAGUUGCUUUGUUUCCUGAUUCAAGGUCUUUUCUAACCCAUUUGCACUAAGGUGUUGCAUCAAGUGCCCAAGCCAAAUAGUUGUCUCUAGAGAUUUUCAAAUUUGAAAAUUCUAUUUUUUGCAAGUUUGCCAUCUAUUCUAGUUUAAAACAUAAUAAUUUUCAUUAUUUAUUAACGUAUGUAAUAAAUAAUUAGAUACAUGAUAUGGAGAAGGUAAAUGCACGUGAAUAAAAAAAAUUUGGAGGUCUCAGUGAUGUCUUCAUCGGCACAACUCAGUUUUCCCCCGAAUAAAUUCAGAGCGUGAGACCACUUCAGCAUACCUGGACUCGAACCCACGUUUGUGGAGAUUUAUGUUCGGCUUCCCACAACUAAGUCACCACCCCAAGUGAUGAUAAAUAUAUAAACAAUAUAAAUAUAUAAAUGUUUAUUUUAUUAGCACAUCUUUUUAGUCAGAAUGUAUGCAUUCACUAAUGUAUAUACAAGUAUUAUUGUACACAUCAUAAAAAAUACAUGUACAAACAUAUAAAUGGAUCUUCACCCGGCAUGCGAUUGUCCGCGUAGAUAGAUUAUUUUCACAAAUUGCUAAUAAGGAUUUAAUACGAAGGGGUAUUCACCAAGCAUGUGGUAGUCCGCGUAGUUAUGUUAUUCCCACAAAUUAAUAAAUGGUAAAAAAAAGGUUCCCACCAAGUCUUGUAAGAUCAACAAGGAUAGAUGGUACUACUGUAAAUAAAAAAAUUUAAAAAUAGACAACAAAGCAUGAAUAUAAUUUUUGUUGUUAAACACCAAACACCAAAAACUAAAAUAUCAACAUACUCAAUCACUUUAAUUAGAAAACCUCCAUUAAUUAAUAAUUUAAUUUAAAAUUUUUAAUAUUUGUAUCACUUAUCCAAAAAUACGUGUUAAUUAAAUUAAAUUAUUUGAAUGAGAUAGUCUUAAUUACAAAUAAAAUUAUAAUUAAAAUGUAUUAUAUUAAAAAUGAUAAUUAAACAUAUAUUUAUAUAUAUUAUUCAUGAAUUAAAAUUUGAUAACAUACAAGAGUAAAUAUGUAAUUUUACCUAGUUAAUCAACCCUAAAAACUUGCAGGGGUAUUAACUGUUAUUUAAAAAAUAAGAGGUGAAGUGAGUGUUAUUAUGAUUAUCUAGAGGAGGUGUCACUAUAUUUUACACAUAAAAAAAAUAAACUGUUGGAAUAUUUCAUGUUUUUAGCAACCUAAGAGACCAAAGGAUAUAAUAUAUUAUAUAUCAAAGAUAUAGUAUCCUAGUCAAACCAAAAUAACUUAAUUAAAGGAAUGAGAAAUAUACCUGAUAAAGUUUGAUCUUAUUCCAAUGACUAGUCAACAUGCAUAUCAAAACAGUUUCCUCGUAAGACUCCUUUUUAUAUUAUAUUACACAUUGUUAUAAAAGAAAUCUUUUCAGCAAUCCUAGAUUUAAUAGGAAGUAUCCAAUAAACUAUAACUCUAAAGUGAGCUAAUACAUCAACAUAUUAAACAUAGGGUCCUUAACACUAAUAUACAACAAUUAGAAAGUAUUUACAAAAAUAACGCAACAUAAUAUUAGGCUUGCUAAAAUUACGGAUCUUUUUUCUCCCUACACGUCAGUUACCGACUCUCUCAUCUCCAACCGCUCCUAGAAUCAAGCGACUGAACAUAACAUUCAUUUUGAAAUCGGAGAAAUCCAAAUCUUCUGUCACGACACACAUCUGAGAUCGGAGAAGACAGAAAUUUUUCUCGCGACGACACUCUGAGAUCGCAAAAUAGCAUACAAUAUCACAUCAACUUCGAUACAAAACUGAAUACAGAGGUAUGUGAGUUUAAAAUUGCUGUACAUAUAGUUUCUUAUGGUUACUACGAAUUCCUAUAUUGAUUACCUUUCUUAAGUUUUUCACACUUAAAAUGGUUACUACGAAUUCUUAUAACGAUUGCUUGAUUCACUGAUAUGUUUUAUUUAUAUUAUGGUUACUAAAUAGAUAUAAAUUGGUUACUAUUUAUUGGGUAUUUGUUUGCUAAAUAAUGUUUAUUUGAUUACUUUAUAAAUUUUAAAUGAGUUCUACUGAUUUUUUUAUAUUAAUGGUUACUAAUCAAAUACAUUGGUUACCUUCCUGCAACUGUUGGUUACUGUCUAAUGUUGUAUUGGUUACUGAAUAACAUUAUACUGCCUAAUGCUUUUUUGGUUACUGUAUAACAAUAUAUUGGUUACUGACUAAUGCUGACUCGGUUACUGUAUAACAUUAUAAUGGUUACUGACUAAUGUUGUCUUGGUUACUGUGUAAAAUUAUAGUGCUGACUUGGUUACUGUGUAAAAUUAUUUAGUGACUAAUGCUGACUUGGUUACUGACUAAUGCUGACUUGGUUACUGACUAAUGCAAACUUACUUACUGCAGAGAUUAAUUGGUUACUGUAAUAUUGGUUGCUGAAGCAUAUUAAUGUACACUUCUACUUAUAUUUUUUAUAUUAAUGGUUACUUGUUAUCUACAUUGGUUACAUUCUUACAAAAGUUUGCCUUUAGUUGGUAACAAAUAAAUUAUACUGAUUGUUUUUUACUAUAAAAAUACAAUGCAUGAUGUAUUUAUCUUGUGGUUACUAAAUAAAUAUGUGUUGGUUACAAUUUAAAAUGAUUUUGGUUACUGUAUAAUGUUGUCAUGAUUAAUGUAUAAUGUUGUCAUUAUUUUUGUUUGUUUUAAUAUGAUGGUUACUUAUUGGCUACAUUGGUUACCUGCAUACAAUUGUUAUAAUUUAAUUGGUAAUAAAUAUCAAUAUAUUGAUUAUUUCUAUUAUAAAAUGAAUGUACAAAUGUGUUUUAUGUUCUGGAUACCAACAUCAUGUAGUUUGGUUACUAGCUAACAUUGAUUUGGUUACUUUACAAUACUUAUUCUGUUGUCAGACAAUGGAGAUGAUUCCAGUUGUAC
rnacentral:lncRNA from 1 species